rnacentral:rRNA from 1 species
CAAUAGCGUAUAUUAAAGUUGUUGCAGUUAAAAAGCUCGUAGUUGGAUUUGUGGUUCGUCCCGCCGGCUGGGUCAUUGACUUUUGCUGUGCUGGUCGUCCAUCCUUGGGUGGAAUCUGUGUGGCAUUAGGUUGUCGCGCAGGGGAUGCCCAUCGUUUACUGUGAAAAAAUUAGGGUGUUCAAAGCAGGCUUAUGCCGUUGAAUAUAUUAGCAUGGAAUAAUGAUAUAGGACCUUGGUACUAUUUUGUUGGUUUGCGCACUGAGGUAAUGAUUAAUAGGGACAGUUGGGGGUAUUCGUAUUCCAUUGUAAGAGGUGAAAUUCUUGGAUUUUUGGAAGACGAACUACUGCGAAAGCAUUUACCAAGGAUGUUUUCAUUA